UUUUAUUAUGCGGUAGGGUGCUGCUGGGCUGCCUCUCGGUGAUGUGUUUUGCUCUGCUUUUUCAGGUACGGUGCGGGCCUUUCCCAGGCGAGGCUGAGGAUUUGAGGUGAAGUGGAAUGGAUGCCACGGGCAGCGUCACAGCCACAAUGCUGGAGCGUGGCUUUGGCACAGUACAGGUGAUAAAGGCAACUGUGGUGACUGAAGGGAGAUCAGCGUGGAUGCGGCUGCCAUUGAGGAUGGCUCUUGAGGAGCGAUGGUGAUGCCCAGCAUUUGAACAAUGCUGAGCAGUGUUCUGAGUGGGCCCAAGGGAGCUGGAGGAAGAGAGGGGCAUGCCCCAAGAAGGCGUGGAGCCUUGCGGGGAGCAGGUUGCUCACAUCCAGGAGGAGCAGGGUGAGGUGAGCAUCAGUCCGGGAGCGGACGUAGAGCGUGGCGUAGGGCCAUCACCUCGUCGGCGCUGUCCCCGUCGCCCAGCGCCGUUCCUGUUUUACAGGUGUGUGGCGGACCUCGGUGUGGGGAGCUAUAGCCCAGCAGUUGGGAUGGGAGAGCGGAGCAGG